rnacentral:tRNA from 1 species
CAGAAAGUAGUUUAGUGUGAAAAUACCAGCUUUGGGAGUUGGUGAUGGAGGUUUAAUCCUCUCUUUCUGA